CCAAACGCGGGAUAAGGCGGGUGUCAGUUAUAAUAGAGCCGUGCAAAGCCGUUGAGGUUUUCUACAUUCCUUGGAGUUUAAACGGGAAAUUUAUUUCACUCGCUUUCUACAUAUUUUUUUCAUCAUGAAUGUUUUACUGGUGCUAACCCUCAUUGCUGGUGUUGUUGCUAUGGUAGCAGCAGACUGUGACGUACAAAAAUGUAUCGGCAAUAUGGCGAGUCAAGAUAUGAAAGAUAAAGAGAGUCUUUGCCCAGUUAUGAGAAAAGCUGUAACAUGUUUAGAGAAUGUGGUGAAUACCUGUCAGAGUUUGGGUAAUAACAAGGGAGCUGUAGAGGGACCUCUGAAUCAAGCAAAGGAUACCCUGAAAAAGCAUUGUGGGGACAGUGCCGCUGGAGUUAUCCAGUCUCAGCAUUUGCUCGUCUUAGUCCCUGUAGCAAUCAUCAGCGCCGUCUAUAGUCGUUUGUAAAGACCAUUGUAUUGUUUAUUACAAAGGAAAGAGUUGUCGUUCGUUAUUUAGCGCGUUAAAAGUUCAAUUUUCACGAAUCCAUGUCAAACGUUAGCGCGAUAAAUAAUGCAAAUAAUUCAUCCUGAAUUUUGUACUUUUAAUAUAAAACAAUAAAAAAUGAUAGGUUGAGUAGCUAGAAAAAUACAAAAAUUAUCAUCGUCAUUUUCUCAUGAUAAAUAAGGUAGUUGUGAUUUGUAGUUAAAUUUAGACCCAUUAAACAUACCAGGUCCUGCCAAUAUGAUCGCCCCAUUUUCUUGCUACUCAACUGACAUUCACUUUCUCUGUAGAAUUUUAAUUUGGUUAACGCCGUGUUUAAAUGCAGAUAAACCCAACUCAUGGUGCCAAAGACAAACCUUGUUUCAGAACGUGCACCCGUGGUGAUUACACUCCUUUCUGUAAUAAAAUUGUGCCCUAAUGUCAUAAUUCUGCUUAGAACUCGAACACAACAUCUUCAAUACCCUUGUUGAUUGAUUUAAUAUUGGUGCAUUGAAUAUUACGUUUAUUGCACUCAGGAUUUUUGAAAGGGGCAUUAUUGCGACUAUCGUGAAUCGAAAAUUAUGUUUAUGGCAUCCGACAUCGUUGAAAAGAUAGUAUUGGUACUACCGUGAAUGGUAAUCGGAAAUUAUGUUUUAUGACAUCCAAUACUGUUGGAAAUAUAUUAUUGCUUUUACCGUGAAUGGUAAUCAGCACUGUUGAUUGGUUUAUUUGCAUUUGAAAAUACUUUUUUAUUUUUUACCUGCAUUUGGUGCCUUCUGGUCUAAAUUCCUGACAAUAUGGAAUUCUAUACAAUGUCAUACCACAGGUGUCUAUUUUAUAUGCAAUGUCAAUCAUUAUUAACUGUAUAGCUUGUGUUCAGGGAAAUCAAACGUUUGGGUUUAAUCAAUUUUAAUAUGCGCGGGAAGAAGGUUCAAUUGUCAUUGGAUACCAUUUCUGUUGAUCAGUGACGUCAUUUCAAUUAUUCGUUGGCGUCAUUUCGAAUAAUCGUUGAGGUCAUUAUAUCAAACACUCGGUGACUGUCGUGCAAUAGUAUGCUAUAAAAAAAGCAAGUUCGUGCCAAUGAGACAAAUAGUCUCAUUAGAAGGCGAUCAUGUGACGAAAAUGUUAUUAUAACGUGAUCUUAAGAACAAUGCCAUUGAAUGACCGAACAAUGUCUUGCGGUGCUAAACUACCCAUGCAUCACUGUUUUAAAUGUUAAAAUUAAUCAAAUCUUUGGGUUUGGUUUUCCUGUUUUUAGACUUUUUAUAUAAUUGUUAUGUACACAAAUUAAUAUAGAACUUAUUCUCAUCUUCGCAAUAUCAAAAUUAGCUACAAUGAUUUAUUGUCAGACUUCUGAUAUGACGAUGAUGAUGUGUUUUUUGAAGGUCUUAUAUGGUUUAAAAUAUAAUUUUCUUUUUUUAAUAAUACACAUAAGUAUUUGUGAUUAUUCUUUGUGCUCACCAACAAGUGUUCGGUUUUUUAUUUACUUUAGACUUGCUCAAGUAUUAUAGUAACGUAGAGCAUGUAAUGUACUUGUAGUCUCGAUCAGUUAUUAAUAAAUAUCUGUAGAAUGUA